rnacentral:rRNA from 1 species
CUACGGGCGGCAGCAGUAGGGAAUAUUGCACAAUGGACGAAAGUCUGAUGCAGCAACGCCGCGUGUGCGAUGAAGGCCUUCGGGUUGUAAAGCACUUUUCUGAGGGAAGAGGAAGGACGGUACCUCAGGAAUAAGUCUCGGCUAACUACGGUGCCAGCAGCCGCGGUAACACGUAGGAGGCAAGCGUUAUCCGGAUUUACUGGGCGUAAAGCGCGUGCAGGCGGUUCGGUAAGUUGGAUGUGAAAGCUCCUGGCUCAACUGGGAGAUGCCGUUCAAUACUGCCGGACUCGAGGACGGUAGAGGGAGGUGGAAUUCCCGGUGUAGUGGUGAAAUGCGUAGAUAUCGGGAGGAACACCAGUGGCGAAAGCGGCCUCCUAGGCCGUUCCUGACGCUAAGACGCGAAAGCAUGGGUAGCGAAUGGGAUUAGAUACCCGGGUAGUC